rnacentral:lncRNA from 1 species
UGCUGCUUUUUGAUAAAUGAGGCAGUUAGGAAGCUGUGUGUAUGUUUCAGGGUUUCUUUUCUAUUGAUCUUUCUUAGGUGCCAUGAUUGAGCAAUCUUUUGUGGUUGUUUGGGGACAUGAUUCAUAGUUUUUAAGAGUAGUCAAGACCUAUUCAUGGGAUUUUCCUCUUGGAGUAAUUUGGGACUUUAAAAACCCUCUGAAGUUGGAGUUUCUGUGAUUCCUUAAUUAAUUUUACUGACCAGAUUCCUCAUUUUAUUAGUGGUAUCAAUAAUUAGCAUAUCUGCAAGUUCAGUUUUAAGUCUUAAUUUCUCACAUUCUUCAUCUAAUACCAAUUCAUAUUCAAAUCCUGCCAAUUAUUUCUCCCGCUCCAGCAUUUCUAGGAUCUAAUUCUCCUCUUACAACAGCCACCCCCUGGGCUGAGCCUUUAUUUCAUUGCAUCCAGAUAACUGUAGUUACUGCAAUUCCGGAGUCUUCUCUGGACCAUUUCCACCUUCAAGAAGCCACCAUCUAAGGAAACAUUAUUUUGAUUAUGACCUAUACAGAAAAACCUGAGGUUGUCCAUUCAACAGACUGACUCAGCCUUCCCUUCUUUCAAUAUGUCAG